GAGGAACACAAGGAACAGGGAGAGAAAAGCAAGGGGAAGCCAUGAUGGAUCUGAGAGCACAAAAUGAGAGAGCCUCCAAAUCAGCAUCAGGACUUCGGAAAUCAACCUUGACUGUCCUUUGGAAGGCAGAUGCUGAAGUUGAAGCUCAAAUACUUUGGCCACAAAUGAGAAGAGAGGACUCAUUGGAAAAACCCCUGAUGUUGGGAAAGAUUGAAGGCAAAAGAGGAAAGGGACAGCAGAGCAUGAGAUAAUUACAUAGUUUCAUCCAUGCAAUGGGCAUGAGUUUGGGCAGACUCAGGAAGACAGUAGAAGACUGGGGGGCCCGGUAUGCUAUGGUUCAUGGGGUCGCAUGACUUAGUGACCGAAUAACAACCAUUCCCUUUGUAAAAGUUACUUUAAUAAAACAUAGUAAAAUUACAAGUAGUCCUUCACUUACUACUGUUCAUUUAACAACAGUUCAACUUUACAAUGCCUUAUGACUCAUCCUCAGAUUUACGACAAUUUCACCAUCCGCAGCGUCAUUUGAUUGCAAUCUGGGUGCUUGGCAACUGGCUUGCAUUUACAACAGUUGCAGUGACUUGCAGUCAUGUGAACCCAAUUUGUGACAUUGCCAGCCAGCUUCUAGCAAGCAAAGCCAAUUGAGGAUGUCAGAUUUACUUAAGGACCACUUGAUUCACUUAUUAACCCCUAAUUUGCUUACUGACUGGUAAUUAAGGUUGUAUAAAUGGUAGUAGAAUUGGGCCUGAUCAUACGAUGGCUCAUUUAAUGAUUACAUCAUUAGUGACCAAAAUUUUGGUCUCAGUUUUGGUAGUAAGUGAAGGAGUACCUAUACUGAUCUAAUGUGUAGCCUUUUCUGGAGGCAAUUCACAAUAUUAGAUGCAUCUUAAGUUGCAAUGUUUGUUUGUUUGUUUGUUUAUUAAACUUCUUAACCACCAUCUCCCUCAGAGGGACUCUGGACAGUGGGCAUGUAUUGAAGUGGGCUGUUAUAUACAAAAACGAAUGAUGCAAUUGUUCACAAUUGUUCCAGAAGACUGGACAAAAAAAGGUGACUUCAAAUUACAACAAAAUAGAUUUCAGUUGAUUAUCAAGAAAAAAAGAUGCUAAAGAUGAGAACUGUUCAUGGAACUGACAACCUUGGAAGAUGGCACAUGAUCUUGUAGUGGAUACCCAUAGUGGUGAUUUAAUUCUUUUAAAAAUAAAUGAAAGAAAUGUAGUGGAUUCCUACAGAGGUUUGGACCAGUUCAUGUCUAAAAUAUUUUCCAAUCUUAACAUUUUAUGCUUCUAUGAAACAAAUGAAAACAAAUGGGAAGAAAAAAUGCCAAACUCUACAAUACUGUAUUAAACAUUUUGUUAUUAUGAAUUGAACAGUAAUAUUUUGAACUUGCAGUAUAUAAAGUAUCUUACCUUGGACUUAAUAAAGCUUAAAUUAAAACCUGCGGAUAUUUUGUCAUGUCAGCUUUUUAUAUUGUAAAACAAUAUGAAAUCAUAAAGAAAUGCCAAUUUUUAUUUAUAC